UACGAAGGGGGCUAGCGUUGCUCGGAAUCACUGGGCGUAAAGGGUGCGUAGGCGGGUUUUUAAGUCAGAGGUGAAAUCCUGGAGCUCAACUCCAGAACUGCCUUUGAUACUGAAAGUCUUUGAGUAUGGGAGAGGUGAGUGGAACUGCGAGUGUAGAGGUGAAAUUCGUAGAUAUUCGCAAGAACACCAGUGGCGAAGGCGGCUCACUGGCCCAUUACUGACGCUGAGGCACGAAAGCGUGGGGAGCAAACAGG
rnacentral:rRNA from 1 species